rnacentral:lncRNA from 12 species
CUCUCUUUCCCCUUUGGCUGAGGUACUCGAGAGGCACUAACUUCCCAGAACGCCUGACACCUGACUUUUCCCUCUCUCUUUCCCCAUUGGCUGAGGUACUCGAGAGGCACAGACUUCCCGGAACGCCUGACACGUGACAUUCCCCUCUAAUGUAUAACCCUUCCUUUUAAUUUUUAAUUCUUGUAGAAUUCAGUUUCCACCCCUCCCCCCGCGUUGCUUCUUUCAUCUUCUGUUACCCAAUUUUAUUUACCAGCAAACCUACAGUUUGUUUGUAAAGGCAAAUCUCAUUUUCCUUUCUUCAAUCAGUGUAAUCCCUCCCAUUGUUUCUUUUAUCUCUAGGUGCUAACUUUACCUACCAAGAGAUCUACAAUUUGUUUGUAAAGACAAAUGUAACAUUCCUCUCACAGCCCAGUGCAUUCUCACUGCCCCUCCAGUACAGGAGGCCCUCUCCCCUGGCACAGCCAGUACAGCCCUGUCCAUCCCAGUACACACUAGUUCAUGCAUGGUCUCUUCCAGAUCCCCCUAGUGCCAUCCCAGUACACCGCAGUGUCCCCAGUUUGUCCCAGUAUCCCCCAUUAUCACUCCCAGUAUGUCCCAGUGUGUCUCUGUGUACCCCCACAGUCCAUUCCAGUCCACCCAGAUUUCCUUCCAGCAUUACAGUGUUCCCAGGCUGUCCCAGUCCUCCCCAGUAUCACUCCCACUAUUCCCCAGUGUCCCCAGUUUGUCCCAGUAUCCCCCAUUAUCACUCCCAGUAUGUCCCAGUGUGUCUCUGUUUACCCCCACAGUCCGUCCCAGUUCCCCCAGAUUCCCUCCCAGCAUUACAGUGUUCCCAGGCUGUCCCAGUCCUCCCCAGUAUCACUCCCACUAUGUCCCAGUGUGUCCCACAGUGUUCUCAGUGUUCUCCAGUAUGUUCCAGUCCUCCCCAAUGUUUCCAAGGAAACUUGAAUGUCUCUCGGUUGCCGUGGCCCCCAAACCCAGCAGUGGGGUCAGUGCAGUGUCCAUGGCCACAGCCCCUGGCAGAGCCCAGUGCAGCUUGGGAUCAUGACCCACCCUCACAGCUGGCCCAGGGCAGCUCUGCAGUGGUUUUGGUGGCACCUUGGGCUGGCACACACCUGAGAGAGGGUGUCUGUUGGCAGUAGGGAACAUUAAGAGUAUUAGAUUGCUCCAAAAAGAAAAAAGGAGAAACAUCUUUUUUUCCUGAGCGUAGCCAGUUCUCCAGGUCCCGGGUGAAUGAGGACAGACAGGAUAGGACUGGGGAAUGUGGUGCAAGGUUGUCCUGGUUCUCUGACGCUGGCUCAGACCCCGAGGCACAGCUUUUCUGAGCAGGCCAGACCUCCUGAGGAGACACCAUGGAUCAACAUCAAUCACAGAAUGCUGCAACUGGAGCUGAAAAACAUCAUAAUGAACUGCACUGGACCAGAGGGAAAUCAAGGCAGAGCCAUGGUUUGUCAGGACUUGCCUGAUCCCAAUGAGCCCCGUGGAGCAUUUGGUGCUGCCAAAUAGCUCCAAAUAAUAUUUGGGAAAUACUGGCUGUCUCUCUGCAGUGCUGCCCUUGCAAGGAGCUGCCUCUGUGCCAGGAGCCCAGCCCAGCUCAGCAGCAGAGACAGAGCACAAGGAUUUCAAUGAACCUCUCGGGGGUUGGGGCUGAGUCCCUGAAUAUCAGUCCCUGAGAGGGAGCUGAAGAAACCUCUGCGGCGAUUUAAACCUAACGGAGGUGAAGUGUCAUCUACUGCUCUCACAGAACAUUCU